GAGUUUGAUCAUGGCUCAGGACGAACGCUGGCGGCGUGCCUAAUACAUGCAAGUAGAACGCUGAAGAGAGGAGCUUGCUCUUCUUGGAUGAGUUGCGAACGGGCGAGUAACGCGUAGGUAACCUGCCUUGUAGCGGGGGAUAACUAUUGGAAACGAUAGCUAAUACCGCAUAACAAUGGAUGACACAUGUCAUUUAUUUGAAAGGGGCAAUUGCUCCACUACAAGAUGGACCUGCGUUGUAUUAGCUAGUAGGUGAGGUAACGGCUCACCUAGGCGACGAUACAUAGCCGACCUGAGAGGGUGAUCGGCCACACUGGGACUGAGACACGGCCCAGACUCCUACGGGAGGCAGCAGUAGGGAAUCUUCGGCAAUGGGGGCAACCCUGACCGAGCAACGCCGCGUGAGUGAAGAAGGUUUUCGGAUCGUAAAGCUUUGUUGUAAGUCAAGAACGAGUGUGAGAGUGGAAAGUUCACACUGUGACGGUAGCUUACCAGAAAGGGACGGCUAACUACGUGCCAGCAGCCGCGGUAAUACGUAGGUCCCGAGCGUUGUCCGGAUUUAUUGGGCGUAAAGCGAGCGCAGGCGGUUUGAUAAGUCUGAAGUUAAAGGCUGUGGCUCAACCAUAGUUCGCUUUGGAAACUGUCAAACUUGAGUGCAGAAGGGGAGAGUGGAAUUCCAUGUGUAGCGGUGAAAUGCGUAGAUAUAUGGAGGAACACCGGUGGGCGAAAGCGGCUCUCUGGUCUGUAACUGACGCUGAGGCUCGAAAGCGUGGGGAGCGAACAGGAUUAGAUACCCUGGUAGUCCACGCCGUAAACGAUGAGUGCUAGGUGUUGGAUCCUUUCCGGGAUUCAGUGCCGCAGCUAACGCAUUAAGCACUCCGCCUGGGGAGUACGACCGCAAGGUUGAAACUCAAAGGAAUUGACGGGGGCCCGCACAAGCGGUGGAGCAUGUGGUUUAAUUCGAAGCAACGCGAAGAACCUUACCAGGUCUUGACAUCCCGAUGCUAUUUCUAGAGAUAGAAAGUUACUUCGGUACAUCGGUGACAGGUGGUGCAUGGUUGUCGUCAGCUCGUGUCGUGAGAUGUUGGGUUAAGUCCCGCAACGAGCGCAACCCCUAUUGUUAGUUGCUAUCAUUCAGUUGGGCACUCUAGCGAGACUGCCGGUAAUAAACCGGAGGAAGGUGGGGAUGACGUCAAAUCAUCAUGCCCCUUAUGACCUGGGCUACACACGUGCUACAAUGGUUGGUACAACGAGUUGCGAGUCGGUGACGGCAAGCUAAUCUCUUAAAGCCAAUCUCAGUUCGGAUUGUAGGCUGCAACUCGCCUACAUGAAGUCGGAAUCGCUAGUAAUCGCGGAUCAGCACGCCGCGGUGAAUACGUUCCCGGGCCUUGUACACACCGCCCGUC
rnacentral:rRNA from 1 species